UCCUCAGUAGCUCAGUGGUAGAGCGAUCGGCUGUUAACCGAUCAGCCGUAGGUUUGAAUCCUACUUGGGGAU